UGCCAGCAACAUUGGUCUCUUCCAGC
rnacentral:piRNA from 1 species